CUUAUCUCGGAGAAUCAAAGUGCCUUCAUCCCGGGAAGGCUGAUCACAGAUAACUCCAUUAUAGCCUUUGAAUGUAUCCAUCAUAUUCAAACAUUAUCAGAAAAUUCGGAGGCUUAUUGUGCUUACAAGCUUGACCUGUCGAAGGCAUACGACCGUGUUGAUUGGGAGUUUUUGGAGAAGGCACUUCUUAAGUGGGGGUUCUCCCAGCACUGGAUUUCUCGUGUCAUGGCAUGCGUCUCUUCAGUCAAGUACUCUGUGAAGAUCAAUGGCAAGUUGACGGAGAUAUUCACCCCUUCGAGGGGCCUGCGCCAAGGUGACCCCUUAUCCCCCUUUCUAUGA
rnacentral:rRNA from 1 species